AUCCUCUCCUUUGGCGGAAAGAUUGGUUUCCCAUAAGACCGGAGCAGCGGAAAGAGUCAUUGGAGGACACGAGGCAAGUAUCCAAAAUCCGACUACUACAAAUCAAAGAUGUCGAGCAACACGUCUUUCUAUUAUGGGGGAUUUGAACAUGCAGGAGCUGUUCAGCUUAGAUUCUACUCUGUUAUUUUAUGUUUUAGUUUUUGUCUUUUCUUACUCUUUUAGGUUUCUUUUUUUGUGGCUUUGUUUUGUUUGUUGUAUCGGGAUACCAAAUAAUAUUCAGUUG